rnacentral:lncRNA from 1 species
GAAGAGGCUUCUGGCUCUUGGUAAGGAGGAGGCUGGGUUAUACAAGUAUUCUUGGUUGCCUAUUUCCUCUUCUACCUCUUCUAAGUCCUCUUCUAAUUCUGAGCAUAGUGUUUUUCAAGUUUGUAAUGAUGAUGUUGUCUCUGACAGCAAACAUUUUAGCUCAUCCUCAAUUGUACACACUUCCAGUUGUAAUAAUGCUGCUACUUUUGAUAUGAAUUACAUAUGGCAUUUGAGAUUAGNNN